UCUUGGUUCCCAUUUUAAAAAAUGACUGAUGCCAGAGCGGGACAGAGCAAAUAGAUGAGCCUGGAAUAUCAUUAUAAUGACAGAAAGCAAAAAAAAAAAAAAAAAAAGUGCUCAAGAAAUUAUGACAUGUCAAAAGAACACAGGAACCAACCUAAAGAGACUUGCCAUGGUCAAAGACUUUGAGCAACUAAAUAUAUAAUGACAGUAAUGGAUUAUAAGAGCAAAACAAAUGCCCUAGUCUGCAACAAUAUAUGACUAAAUAAAUGGGGAGAAGGGACAGCUCUCCUUACACAGAAUUUCAAAUUAAUAAAUACAGAAGGAAUAAUGGAAAUAGAAAAGUUAUAAUUUGCAACUCAUAAACAACAGACUCAGGAAAGAAAAUUAGAUGAAAAAAUACAGUGAGAAACAAGAUAUAUACAGUCUCAAAGUAUCUCCACAAGAUACUUAAAAUCACAAAGAGAAAAGUUGUACCUUUCAAUGGAAAACCUGACAAACAUCACCUUAGUCAGGUGAUCGGGGCUAUCAUCACCAGUAGUAAUAAGAUAUGAUGUUCAUAUGCCUCCUGAUGUAACACAAUGUCACUUGUAUGAUGUAUCACCUCUGUGAUGUUAUAAAUGUAUAACCUGAAUUUAAUCAUAAGUAAAAACAGAUAAGGCCACACUGAGGGACGGAUACUCUAUAGGAUAACUGGCCAAUACUCUUCAAAUGUGUCAAGCAGGGGUGCCUGGGUGGCUCAAUCGGUUAAGCGUCUGACUUCAGCUUACAUCAAGAUCUCACAGUUCCUUCCAGAAUGUGGGGCUUGAACUCACCACCCCAAAAUCAAGAGUUGUAUGCUCUGGCUGAGCCAGCCAGGCACUCCUCACUUCUCUACAGUUUUAAUGGAGUUUUCAGGCUGCUGUGGAAUUAAAUGUGUACAUUCAAUCCAAUUUCCUUACCAUAACAUACUGCUGAAUAAAGAGAAAAAAAUUGCUAAACAAAAUG